rnacentral:rRNA from 1 species
UACGAAGGGGGCUAGCGUUGCUCGGAUUGACUGGGCGUAAAGGGCGCGUAGGCGGUUUGUACAGUCAGGCGUGAAAUUCCUGGGCUCAACCUGGGGGCUGCGUUUGAUACGUGCAGACUUGAGUUCGGAAGAGGGUCGUGGAAUUCCCAGUGUAGAGGUGAAAUUCGUAGAUAUUGGGAAGAACACCGGUGGCGAAGGCGGCGACCUGGUCCGAUACUGACGCUGAGGCGCGAAAGCGUGGGGAGCAAACAGG